CCUAAACCUAGCCUUCAUCUCAUCAUGACUUUCAGUCCCUUCACCUUUAAAUUCUUUCCCAGAUCAUUAAUCCUUCUUUGGAUAAAUGCUCCUCCCUUACCAAUCUUAACUAAUUGGUGAACCAUUCAACGCUUUUCUCUACUCUCAAAUUCCUUGUUCUGUGGUUUUAUUGCUGAUCAUAUCUUGACAGUCUCCAACCUUGGAAUACUCCUACCAACUAUCUCUUUUGCCUCUACUUGUGUACUGCUGAAUAGAAUUGGAAGAAGAAAAUACCAUGCAAGCAUGAUGUUCAAAUAUUGCACUGAAGAGAGCUGAAGAGAUAUUUAUUCGUAACUGAAAGGAAAA
rnacentral:lncRNA from 1 species